ACGGAAGGUCCAGGCGUUAUCCGGAUUUAUUGGGUUUAAAGGGAGCGUAGGCCGUUUUUUAAGCGUGUUGUGAAAUACUGUCGCUCAACGACAGAGGUGCAGCGCGAACUGGAGGACUUGAGUGCGCGGAAUGUAGGCGGAAUUCGUCGUGUAGCGGUGAAAUGCUUAGAUAUGACGAAGAACUCCGAUUGCGAAGGCAGCUUACAGUAGCGUAACUGACGCUGAAGCUCGAAAGUGCGGGUAUCGAACAG
rnacentral:rRNA from 1 species